GGAGAAUCGCUUGAACCCAGGAGGCAGAGGUUGAGGUGAAGUCGUGCUGGUAAGUGCCACCUUCUCUGCUGCACUGUAGUAUCUGGGGCAGCAUCGGGCACAGCAAGGGGCCUUAAGCCUGACGGACAGGCCUAUCGGACUCAAUGAAACUGAAAGAGGAUGUGGGGAAAUCGCACCCUUGUGCACAGCUGGCGGGAUGUGACAUGGCACAGCUGCUGUGGAAAAGUCGGGCAGCUCCCCAAAAAAUUAAAAUAGAGGCCGGGCGCGGUGGUCCACGCCUGUAAUCCCAGCACUUUGAGAGGCCGAGGUGGGAGGAUCAUGAGGUCAA
rnacentral:lncRNA from 1 species